AGGCGCACGGCGGCCGAGGACAGGCCUGGACACACACCGGCGAGCGGGCGGCUGCGCACCAUGGAACAGCGGUUAGCCGAGUUCCGGGAGGCCCGCAAACGGGCCAGUCUGGUAGCCCAGCCUUCCACGUCCAGUCAGAGCGUACAGACCUCGGGAGCGAAGGCGGAGCCAGCGGCGGCGACCCCAAAGACAGCCACGGGCUGGCUGACACGCUUCCUGAAACGGAAAGCCAACCCCGCCAUCGCUCAGGCUCAGCCCAACCAGCCUCAGGUGAGGAGAGAGGCCUGCACCUUGAAGCUCCGCCUCCGCGCGGGGGCCACGCCCCUGCCUGCCCAAGCCACACCCAGGAUAUCUGGCUCUUCCUUGUCCUGUGCGCUCUCUCCUCGCCUGCCUCGUGGCUGGACACCGCAUUUCCGCUCUGUGUAUCAGCACAUGAUACGUGGCCUUGACGUUUUCCAUCCCAGACAAUCCUAUGCAGCAACUAGUUGAAAACAAAGCGAAGCUCUAGGGAGCUUGAAGAAACAUCUCUGCUCUCCAGUUGUUCACUGCGAGUUAAUGACAGAGAUUCGUGGCUUUGAGAAACUGAUAAGUUAUUUCUCCACUGGUGAAGUAAGCCAAUUCAAGCCAGAUUAGUAUAUAUAUAGGUUUAUCGGGAAGCUGCUUUUGUGCCGAUGAGUUCACUGGCCCUAGGAAGGAGGCCAGGGAAGUCGCCAUGAGAAGGGAGACAGAGGGGAGGGAGAAGAGAAAGAGAGAAGGAAAAGGAAGAAGAGGAAGAGAGAAAACCAACCAAACAAAAAAAAGUCUGGGUUAUAUAGUAAAGAGCCUGUGGGCUGGAAAGUUCAGGGUUGGGGGUAGGGUAUGCUAGGUAGGGACUGAGAGAUGCUUGGAGAACCUGGAGGCCAGGUCUGCUUGGUGUGUAAAAUAUACACCUCAGCACCUUGUCCUGGGGUCUGAAACCACUGAGCUGCAUCCACUGCUAGUGAGGGGGUAAAGGCCUUACUGGUUAUGGCUCAGAGGUGGCAGUAAUUAAGGCUGCACUUUAUUCACACCUUGGGUAGAGGAAGCCAGUGUCUCGGGUAGCUUGUACUUUAGAAAUGGGAUUUGGACCAGGAAACAAAAAGAGGUUUGAGACUAUGGCCAUACUGUUCUGAAUGCAGCUUGAUUUCUGAAGCUAAGCAAGGUCUGGCCUGUGCAAAACGGGGUUUGACUAUGGAAGUGUGGCCACUGUAACUGCCUAGAGUGAUGUGCAUGGGCUUAUAGGCCCCUCUUGGACUAGAGAAGGGUAUUCAAGUUCAACUGUGAGUGAUCUAGGUAGAAAUAAUUUGGACAAGUAUGAUAGCCCAUUCGAAUCUCAUUGUGGCUUCAUAUAGUUCCACACAGGAGUAUCCUGGCAAAGGUACUUGCCUGUGAGGUUGGAAUCCCUGGGUGGAAAUAUGAAACACUCCAAGG
rnacentral:lncRNA from 1 species